CCGAGGACCUUUGAAAGCAAGUAAAGGAAGAAAGAAAAUGUCUAGAGUCUCUCCCGCCAUUGGAGAUUCAGGCCAAACAUGUGCUUCUGGUUUCCCAACCAGAAGAUGUAGGAUAGGAACCGCGGACAGCGCUUUACGAUGUGACGGACUCGGCCUCACACCCUCUCCUGUGCUUGCUUUGCAGUACCACCCACGGGGGUUUCAGAAUCCCCUGUGCUACCUCCAUUUUACAGAUGUGGAAACUGAGGCUCGGGCCCUCACGUGAGCAGAGACCUGCUACCAGACGUCAGAGCCAGGAGUCGAGCCCGGGUCUCCAGAUGUCCUGACUCAGGGCUGGCUGUGCUUUCCAUCCUGUUCAUGAACGACAAGAGAAUCAUGGCUGAUUCUCUCUCCCAUCAGUUACCUGGCAUGGCCUGUCCCCAAGUCCCAUGACGAGGGUGACUUGAACUCAGGCUUUUGGUCUGAUUUCCCUGGUUCCAGCCUCAGCUAAGCUCUUGUGAUAGUAAGAGUGAUGAUAGGUAUUGCUUACUGAGGAAUUAAGCAAGGGCUUCUCUUAUAUUAGUUAACUCAUCUGAUCCUCCCGGCCACCCGUGAGCUCAGGGCUAUGAACAAUGCCAUCUUAGCACAGAGGACACCACUGAGGCUCCAGGGGAGGGAGCCGUUCAAGGUCAAACAGGACAAGGAGCCAGGCUGGGAUUCGAGGGCCAGGAAUGGGGCACACUCAUCUCUGCACUGGCUUCGGAGCAGGUCCGUCUCCCCACGGUCUGCUCUCCCAGUCCCUGCGAUGUGGGCCUGGGGCUCCCUGCUCCUGGCUUCUGUCUUGCUUGGGACACCUUUUCUUGAGCUAGAGAGAUGCCUCUCACUCGAGAUUCUCCUCUUUUUGCAUUUCUCAGUACUCACCGACACCCAUUAUGCCUUCUCCCAAGUUACUUGUUCAUUUCUUUUCUUUUCUUUUCUUUUGGUACCAGGGAUUGAACCCAAGGGUACUUUACCAGUAAGCCAUAUCUCCAGCCCUUUAAAAAUUUUUUUUAAUUAGAGACAGGGUCUCGAUAACUUGCUUACACCUUGCUAAGUUGCUGAGGCUGGCUUCAAACUCAUGAUCCUCCUGCCUCAGCCUCCUGAAUCACUGGGAUUACAGGCAAGCGCCACUAUGUAUGGCACUUGUUUGCUUCUUGUGCUCAUGAAAGUGCCACCUCCCAAUUCACACUAGCUAACUGUGGAACCAACAUAGAUGCCCUUCAGUAGAGGAAUGGAUAAACAAAUGUGCCAUAUAUACACAAUGGAAUAUUACUCAGCAAUAAAAGAGAAUAAAAUCAUGGCAUUUGCAGGUAAAUGGAUGGAGUUGGAGAAGAUAAUGUUAAGUGAAGUUAGCCAAUCCCCAAAAUCCAAAUGCCUAGUUUUCUCUGAUGUAAGGAGUCUGAUUCAUAGUGGGGUAGGGAGAGGGAGCAUGGGAGGAAUGGAUGAACUCU
rnacentral:lncRNA from 1 species